rnacentral:rRNA from 1 species
UUUACGGGAGGCAGCAGUGAGGAAUAUUGGACAAUGGAGGCAACUCUGAUCUAGCCAUGCCGCGUGUGUGAUGAAGGCCUUAGGGUCGUAAAGCACUUUCGCCAGAGAUGAUAAUGACAGUAUCUGGUAAAGAAACCCCGGCUAACUCCGUGCCAGCAGCCGCGGUAAU